rnacentral:ncRNA from 1 species
ACCCCUGUGAGAAUGCCCAACAUCCUCCGCCUGAGGAAAAGGAGCAGGUAUCAGGCACCCUUAUACUUAUAAGCCCAUAACACCUUGCUUAGCCACACCCCCAAGGGUUUAACAGCAGUGAUAAAUCUUAAGCAAUGAGCGAAAGCUUGACCUAUUUAUAGUUUUUAAGGCCGGUUAAUUUCGUGCCAGCCACCGCGGUUAUACGGAUGGCCUAUGUUGAUAGACGUACGGCGUAAAGUGUGGUUAAGAAAACUUUAAAGUAAAGCAGAACCUUUCCAGAACAGUUAAAUGUGCCUGAAAAAGUAGAACUUCAACCACGAAGGUGGCUUUAUAACCCUGACUCCACUAAAGCUAAGAAACAAACCGGGAUUAGAUACCCCGCUAUGCUUAGCCCUAAACAUUGACAGCACAUUACACAUACUGUCCGCCCGGUUACUACGAGCAUAAGCUUAAAACCCAAAGGACUUGGCGGUGCUUUAAACCCCCCUAGAGGAGCCUGUCCUAGAACCGAUACUCCCCGUUUAACCUCACCCCUUCCUUAAACCGCCUGUAUACCGCCGUCGCAAACUCACCCUGUGAAGGGAUAAUAGUGAGUUCAACUGGUACAACCCCUCACGACAGGUCAAGGUGCAGCACAUGAAGGGGGAAGAGAUGGGCUACAUUUUCUGAAACAGAACAUACGGAUGACUCACUGAAAUAAGACGUUUGAAGGUGGAUUUAGCAGUAAGUAAGAACUAGAGAGUCUCACUGAAGUAGGCAAUAAAGCACGCACACACCGCCCGUCAUUCCCCCCUAAAACUAUAAGUACCUGCGGUAAUUAACACGCAGAGUAAAAAUUAAGGGGGGACAAGUCGUAACAAGGUAAGUGUACCGGAAGGUGUACUUGGGCAAAC